rnacentral:rRNA from 1 species
GGUAGCCGGCCUGAGAGGGUGUCCGGCCACACUGGGACUGAGAUACGGCCCAGACUCCUACGGGAGGCAGCAGUGGGGAAUAUUGCACAAUGGGCGCAAGCCUGAUGCAGCGACGCCGCGUGGGGGAUGACGGCCUUCGGGUUGUAAACCUCUUUCAGCACRGACGAAGCGCAAGUGACGGUANSUGCAGAAGAAGCACCGGCCAACUACGUGCCAGCAGCCGCGGUAAUACGUAGGGUGCGAGCGUUGUCCGGAAUUACUGGGCGUAAAGAGCUUGUAGGUGGUUUGUCGCGUUGUUCGUGAAAUCUCACGGCUUAACUGUGAGCGUGCGGGCGAUACGGGCAGACUNGAGUACUGCAGGGGAGACUGGAAUUCCU